rnacentral:lncRNA from 1 species
CAAUCAGAAGCUCGGAAGCCCUGGCGAAAUCAAGCAGUGACGUGCCUCCUCCGUUCCUAACCCCAAAGCCAAAGCCACCGUGCACCUAACCAGAACCACCAACAUCAGCCCCAAUAUGACCAUUAAAGUCUCCUCCAGUAACUAACUUCUCAGAUUGGGAAAUACUACUCACCAGAUCAUCCAAGCUCUCACAAAAGCGCCUCUUAGACUCCUCAUCUAAGCCCGCUUACGGCGCGUAAGCGCUGAUGACGUUGAGGACGCAACCCCCAAUAACCAACNN